CGUAGGGUGCAAGCGUUGAUCGGAAUUACUGGGCGUAAAGCGUGCGCAGGCGGUUUUGUAAGACUGUCGUGAAAUCCCCGGGCUCAACCUGGGAAUGGCGAUGGUGACUGCAAGGCUAGAGUUUGGCAGAGGGGGGUAGAAUUCCACGUGUAGCAGUGAAAUGCGUAGAUAUGUGGAGGAACACCGAUGACGAAGACAGCCCCCUGGGUCAAAACUGACGCUCAUGCACGAAAGCGUGGGGAGCAAACAGGAUUAGAUACCCUGGUAGUCCACGCCCUAAACGAUGUCUACUAGUUGUCGGGUUUUAAUUAACUUGGUAACGCAGCUAACGCGUGAAGUAGACCGCCUGGGGAGUACGGUCGCAAGAUUA
rnacentral:rRNA from 1 species